CUACCCCUACACUCCCUCUCCCAGAGCUACUCGUGCCCGGAGGUUUUCCUCAGGUGGAGAGGAGGAUGGGUGGAAUCAAAGUCUUAACAGACUCCAAGGUGGUAUAGGCCGUAUGAUUCUGAAGGAGGAGAUGAAAGCCAGGUCGGGUUCCUAUGACAAUGACCCGUGGAGCAGCGCACGGAACUCCCGCACCAACUCCCGCACCAACUCCCGCACCAACUCCCGUAGCAACUCCCGCAGUGGCAGCAAAGAGGCCCUGCACAAUGUGGGCUACAGCAACACUGUCAACGGAUGUAAGACAUCCCACCGCAAUCCACUUACAGCCCUGAGACAGAUUUAGUCCCGGUGCUAAACACCAGUCCAUCCUUUUAUCAACACUGACACGAGUAUUGAGGCGUGAUGGAUCCUCUCACUGUUAACAAUAGUAUUUAUUAGGAUCUCCAGUCAGCUGCUGCCGAGGCAACGGCUCCUCUUCCUAGGAUCCAAACAGGAAACAACACAACAGAUACAAUACAUAAUAUAGAUKAAUAUACAGCACUGCAUUUACAUUACAAUUGAGCCGUUCAGCAGACGCUGCUAUCCAGAGAGAUC